rnacentral:lncRNA from 1 species
UCCCAGGUUAAAAAUUGCUUUCUCUUAAUCCCAGUUUCCCUCUCAUUCUCACUUUUUUCUCAGGCCUAUUACUACACUGAAUCAACAGUUAUGCCUCCUUUUGCCCUGUUCUUGGAAGAUAUGUCUGCAGUGAAGUGGGACCAGUCAAGGGAAAUCCUAAAAUUUCUAGGAAGACAUAAUCCUAUUAAGAGUGUUACAGUAAUUGAGAGGGCCAACAUAGGUGACAUGGCAAGUCCAGAAGAUGCCCUAAUAUACAUUGCGAAUCUGGAAGAAGCAUUAACUUGGAUCAUGGAGGACCUAGAAGCCUCGGCUUUUCAGACUCGUGAAAGUCGUAAAUUCAAUUUGAAUAUUGAAAGUCCACGUUCCAACACAAGUACUUGUUAAGAAUGGAAGAUCACAGCCUCAUUGAACCAUAACUGCUAUGUGGCACAUAUCACACCCACUCUACAAAAGGUAGAUUUUAUUCAUAUCUGUCAUGGCUUUAUAUCAUUAAUUGUCUUUAGUAGGUCCUGGUCAGUUUAAUUGCUGCAGAAAGGGAUGCUUUUAGACUUAGGGCCAUCAUUUUU